rnacentral:tRNA from 1 species
GCUUUUAAAGGAGAGAGUUUCCAACUGGUCUUAGGCACCAGCAUUUCUUGGUGCAAAUCCAAGUAAAAGCU